UACGUAGGGGGCAAGCGUUGUCCGGAUUCAUUGGGCGUAAAGAGCGUGUAGGCGGCCAGGUAGGUCGGUUGUGAAAACUGGAGGCUCAACCUUCAGAGGUCGACCGAAACCAUCUGGCUAGAGUCCGGGAGAGGAGAGUGGAAUUCCUGGUGUAGCGGUGAAAUGCGCAGAUAUCAGGAAGAACACCCGUGGCGAAAGCGGCUCUCUGGAACGGUACUGACGCUGAGACGCGAAAGCGUGGGGAGCGAUCAGG
rnacentral:rRNA from 1 species